AGAGGGAGCUUAAAAACAAAAGUGAAGUAGGACUGACUGUACGUGGGCUCAUGUAUGCAUGAAUUAUGAAGGGCAUGCUGAAGUUUACAGUACCAGUGUGACGAAUGGUGCAAGUCGACACCUUUCCACUUUGAACCUGAAAAUGAUGAAAACCCUUGUGUGCAAGGAACGCAUGGUACAAAUUCCGCUGAGCAAAAGAAUAAGAGUUGCUGAACAGCAGCCAAGAGACUAACCCAGCAACAGCUGACAUGGAUACACAUCUUGUCUCCACAUUUGAAGGUGAAGAGAAACCCAAGUUGCCAGAGCUCAGAGGUAGGACAGCUGUAAAGCCUCCUGCUUCAGUUAAUGAAGUGUGUGGUGCUCCCAGCUUUGAGAAGAACAUCCAUCCAGAAUUUGAGCCCUGCAGUGCUCCAGGAUUUGAGGACUGCAUUCCACCACAUUUUGAUUAUCCCACACCCCUAGAGUUUGACUGUGCUCCUGCAGAGUUUGAUGACUGCAGUCUCCUAGGGUCUGACAACUUGAACAAUGAAGGCUAUGCUAUUACACCACGUCUGCAAGAUGCAAAGUCUCCUGCAAAUGCAGUGCAGGAGUUCAUUCCAUUCAGUAUGUUUCGUUCAGAAGGGGAUACACAGAGGACAAGUUUGGACAUUCAGACUAUUAGAUUUGCCAGAAAACGUGUUGGCAGGAUUGGGAUGAGAUUUGGAUUCUUUCCUUCUCUCUCAUCUGGCUUUGAGCUAACCUUGUAAUUCUGCUGUUGCUCAGAGAAACCUGAUUUUUUGCUUGCUUUGAAGAAUUGGCUGAAAGUCUGAAGAGAAAUCUCUCUGGAGAUUAGUUUGUUUUCCAGGGACGAUUCCUUUCUCUACCCUUUGUGUUUCUGAAGGUCUUCCAGGUGGACCCAUUUGGAAUCCCUUGGAAAACAGACAUAAUUAACCAUGAGAAGAGUUCGGUCACUGCAUCUUUACUUACGCUAAAAGGUGUCACCUUUGUACCUAUCUUGUGUGGUCCACACACUUGUGUGAAUGGAUGGGGAAGAGGGUGAACACCUUGACAGACUGAUGGACAUGAGCAGUUUGCCUAAGCCUUCAGAUAAUACAUACCAUCAAGAAAGCUGCAGUUUAGGCAUGAUUUUGAUGCUGGCCAUUGAGGUAGAGUCAGUUCAAACCAUAGAAGGGAAGUGUACUCUACCGAAGAUGAUGCAGCAGUUUUUGACGAGGAACUGCAAUCAGUAUAACUGCCUGUCUUUAAAACCCUUACCCCUCCAACUGUGCUCAGAAAGGAGAGGUUAGAUAUUUUUUGGAGGGGAUCACCUGCUAGCUCACAUUCAGGCUUAUCACAGCAAAUACUUGGUUUGAAGGCAAAACUCUUCAGUCCGCAGUGUGAGUUUAUGAGUAUUCAUGGUGUAAAAUUGAACUCCUAAUGGGUACUUGUUGGGAAAGAUGAAGAAGCUGCUUCAGCUGUUUACUAGUCAGAAUCCACUGAAUAGAGCCUUAGACUCACUGAGAAGCAUCAUGAUUUGGUGACAGUGAAUGACAUUUCUGGAGAUGCCCAGUCUGACAUCUUCUUUGGAAAAAUUGUGAUCUGAUGAUGACAAAGUGUCUGAAACCAGAGCAAGAAAGCUAAAAUGCUACUAAAGUUUUGAGUCAGAGGAUGGAUGGAUGAAGAUCUUAUUCCAAAUGGGCAGUGCGCUUGGAGCUUCCUCCUGCCUGCAGGGGGAAAGCUCAGUCACACUGGCAAAGUCCUGACUGCUUUUUCAGCAAGGCUUCAGUUUGCAGUGUGGCCAACAGGGGCUGUGCCAUCUGCGACAUGAGCUGGAUGGCUUUGUGCUGCAAAGAAACGUGCAGGUAUCUGCUGUUAAGCUACAGCAGUACAAGUACAGCAGAUGUGAGCAUGCAGCUCUGGUGAGGGAAGGAGCAACUGUGGCUGUGGACCUGAGAGCUGAAAUUUCCCAGCUUCCAUGUGUCACUACCAUUCCUUCUGAAACACUGGUUUUAUGUGCUCUUCUUAAAUGGUUUUCUAUGCAGAUGUAGUUCUACACAAGAUAACUAGAGCAAUGUCCUUGAAGAUACCCCAUUUUGUCUAGUUGAGGUACUUGCUAUAGCUUCCAGAUGUGUUGCUUAUCACUGAUAAAUGUCCUUUCUAACCACCAGGCUUCUAUAAUAACAGCAACAUCCUCUAAAUGGGGGCUGAAGUCCCAAACAGUAACCAAUCAUUGGAAACUAAGUGGAGACCAAGUGCCCUUAGAAAACCUGUGUCCUCACAUGGAUAGCAUGAGGAGGACACCUCCCCAUAUGACCACCGACCCCUGCACAAGCACAGAAGAUUCGGAUACGUUUGCGUAACCUUGUACUUGCAGUAAUCUCAUGAAUAUGUAAUAGAUAGAUGCCUUAUGUAGUGGAUAGGUGUGUACUGAGAACUGCUGGGUUAUAAAUAGUGGAGAGUGCGAUGACUCAGAUCCACUUGAUUUGUGGAGAUUACUCACCUUGAGUGCUGUGCAGAAAUAAAGCAAUGUUUCCUCU
rnacentral:lncRNA from 1 species